CACGUAGGGCGCGAGCGUUGUCCGGAAUUAUUGGGCGUAAAGGGCUCGUAGGCGGCCUGUUGCGUCCGCUGUGAAAGCCCGGGGCUUAACCCCGGGUCUGCAGUCGAUACGGGCGGACUCGAGUUCGGCAGGGGAGACUGGAAUUCCUGGUGUAGCGGUGAAAUGCGCAGAUAUCAGGAGGAACACCGGUGGCGGAGGCGGGUCUCUGGGCCGAUACUGACGCUGAGGAGCGAAAGCGUGGGGAGCGAACAGG
rnacentral:rRNA from 1 species